rnacentral:tRNA from 1 species
GGCGUCGUAGCCAAGUGGUAAGGCACGGGUCUGCAACACCCUUAUGCACCAGUUCAAAUCUGGUCGACGCCU